ensembl:lncRNA
CUUGGCGGGAAGGUCCUCUCAGAGCAAAGGUGUAUUCUGCAGCACAGCUUGGUAUGGCGUGCAAGCUACCAAGGUCUAUCGUUUAUUUAAGUUAAGUUAGAGCGUAAGUCUAUAUGAGUUCAAUAUAACGUGAGGUAAGGUAUGAGUUAGUUUGCUGCUUCGUUUAGUUGUAGCCUACUUGUUCCCCUGCUGCUCGCGCUACAUCGGAUUCCACGCCAUUUAGCUGUGUCACAUGUGAAAGACAAAGACAAGUUCAUCUUAAAGGGACUUGCUGCCAGCUGUGAAGAAGAAAUUGCUGUUCUGGGAGCAACCCAAUUAAACUACGAAGAAGAAACUGCAAACUCUUGUCCACUGCAUCCGUCCGUCAACGGACGACGGAAGGCGUGUCUGACGGAUGGGGGAGUGGUAUUUGCAGACGGAGCCACGAUCUGAUGGAUCCGUUGCAGCCUGAAAAGUUAAAAUUUUCUCUACCUCUGAAUGCAAGAGACGGAACGGACCGACCGACAAUGCAUUUCAGGAUCGCCCCAUGCAAAGUCAAUGAGAUCCGUCAACGGACGGAUGCAGUGGGCAAGGGGUGUAAGUCUCUGCCAGAUUGUCUUAAAAGCAAGCAAAGCUCUCUUGUACUAUUUCCCGGAUUGCCUCCUUGGCUUCAACCCUGCUUGUUCCUGACCCGUCCUUGUCGUCCCUGCCCUGGUAACCUGAACCGCCUUCUGUCCCUGACCCCUCUGCCUGCUCGCCCCUUGUCUGUCCCCAGUUAGCUUGGAUUCCCUGUUUGGAAAAUAAAGCUGUUGAACUGUUCC